AUUGAACGCUGGCGGCAUGCCUUACACAUGCAAGUCGAACGGCAGCACGGGUGCUUGCACCUGGUGGCGAGUGGCGAACGGGUGAGUAAUACAUCGGAACGUACCUUAUCGCGGGGGAUAACGCAGCGAAAGCUGUGCUAAUACCGCAUACGCCCUGAGGGGGAAAGCGGGGGAUCGCAAGACCUCGCGCGAUUAGAGCGGCCGAUGCCUGAUUAGCUUGUUGGUGGGGUAAAAGCCCACCAAGGCGACGAUCAGUAGCUGGUCUGAGAGGACGAUCAGCCACACGGGGACUGGGACACGGCCCAGACUCCUACGGGAGGCAGCAGUGGGGAAUUUUGGACAAUGGGGGCAACCCUGAUCCAGCAAUGCCGCGUGAGUGAAGAAGGCCUUCGGGUUGUAAAGCUCUUUUGUCAGGGAAGAAACACCGGCUCUAACACAGUCCGGGAAUGACGGUACCUGAAGAAUAAGCACCGGCUAACUACGUGCCAGCAGCCGCAGUAACAC
rnacentral:rRNA from 1 species